rnacentral:rRNA from 1 species
ACAAACGACUCUCGGCAACGGAUAUCUCGGCUCACGCAUCGAUGAAGAACGUAGCAAAAUGCGAUACUUGGUGUGAAUUGCAGAAUCCCGCGAACCAUCGAGUUUUUGAACGCAAGUUGCGCCCGAAGCCAUUCGGCCGAGGGCACGUCUGCCUGGGCGUCACG